rnacentral:rRNA from 1 species
GAUGAACGCUGGCGGCGUGCCUAAUACAUGCAAGUCGAGCGAACGGACGAGAAGCUUGCUUCUCUGAUGUUAGCGGCGGACGGGUGAGUAACACGUGGAUAACCUACCUAUAAGACUGGGAUAACUUCGGGAAACCGGAGCUAAUACCGGCUAAUAUUUUGAACCGCAUGGUUCAAAAGUGAAAGACGGUCUUGCUGUCACUUAUUGAUGGAUCCGCGCUGCAUUAGCUAGUUGGUAAGGUAACGGCUUACCAAGGCAACGAUGCAUAGCCGACCUGAGAGGGUGAUCGGCCACACUGGAACUGAGACACGGUCCAGACUCCUACGGGAGGCAGCAGUAGGGAAUCUUCCGCAAUGGGCGAAAGCCUGACGGAGCAACGCCGCGUGAGUGAUGAAGGUCUUCGGAUCGUAAAACUCUGUUAUUAGGGAAGAACAUAUGUGUAAGUAACUGUGCACAUCUUGACGGUACCUAAUCAGAAAGCCACGGCUAACUACGUG